rnacentral:lncRNA from 1 species
CUUUCUUGGAGAAAGAAAUGUGUGAAGACUUAGGGCUUGUUGGUUUUCUGCUGCGCUUUCCUUCCAGCAAAGACACCUUCCUGGAUUAGGCUGGUUUGCAGUUGCUCCUGAAGCCUAGCUCGAACCAUAGGCACCAGGUGCGCACAACGUCUGCAAACCUGACUGCAGAACCCAGAGCAGAUACCGAAGGUUGUGGGGAAUGUGUCUCCCAAGACUGCGAGUCAGCAACUCCUAGGAACCCGGAGGCCAGCUUGUAUAGGUUGGGGAUCUGCGUCUGCAGUGCGGGCUACAGGCACGCGUGGGUUCCCGGGCUCAGGGGAGCCUGCUGUUAAAGUUGCUCAAGCCGCUCUCCGACGUUCCUGAAAAGGAACACCGCUCUCGUUUAACUCCCUCACGGGUUCCUGGACCGCAAACUAGCGCCGUCUCCGGAACGUCCUUAGUCGAUCUUUCCCUGGCUCCCAGUCUGCGCGCGCUGCGCUCUCUCCUGGCGGCGCGGUGGACUCCCGGAGCUCCGGCCGGCCAGCGCAACCACAGCCCCGAGGGGUGCAGGGAUCUGGGCCCACUCUCGUGGAUGCCUUGCUAUGAACACCACGGAAUCUCAGCUGAGAGACACGAGAUGGGAGAAGGAGCGAGAGAAGCAACACACCAGCAGAUGGGGGCAAGGACAGCGACUGAAAGGCCAGAUGUGGAGAAAUAAGGCUUGUCCCGACUCGGCGCGGGAGAGAAACUUCAUGGAGCCUGUCUGGGGCUGGGCGUCAACCGGAGAAUGGGACUCAUGCUGCCUACAAACGAAAACCGGGAGAAGACAACUGGCAGACUGGAGGGCCGACCAGGAUCUGGAGCGAGCAAGUUUUAGGGAGCUCAGGGCUAAAGGCAGAUCCCGGCUCCGCAGAUACAGGCUCCUCGGGUGCCCGCCAAGGAGGCCAGGCCUCCCAAGCCGGUUUGAGAACCCCAGGUGGGACCCAGACUUCUUCCAGGACUCGGGUGUCCAAGACCCCUCCCCUUUAGUGGGAUGUCCCGCAUGAGCGUUUUUCAGGAAAAUAAAUCGGCUGUAGAAACUAGAAAUACCGAUGCAGCCCCAGUACAACCGAAGCCCAAAGGGAGAUUGCCUUUGCAUGUCGAAUUAAAGUUGAUGCAAUGAAAACCUUUAAAAGAAAAUAAAACAAAAACGAAACUGAAAAAAAAAAAGCAAAGCUUGACUUAACCUCUCUCCAUUUUCUUUUUCUUGAUGAGCGCCACGAACACGCCAAAAAGUCCUGGCGUGUUCAUUUGAUACACUGAAAACUACUUACAUUUUAAAUGUCCAUCAUUAAAGUAAAACCACUAAAAAUGUAGAAUUUCUUUUUAAUAAUAAUAAAAAAAUCUGCACACACCAAAGUGGCAGCUAUUUUGGGCCCCAGAAUUAAAUAGUCCACAAAGGCUAGAGUUGAAACAGAGUAAGUAAGAGCCUCUGGCUUUAUUGAAAUGCCCUGGUAUUGUUUUCCUCCUUUCCCGAAUAAAACAGGCGUGGAAAGAGGCAGAUUUGGCCACCGGCGGAGGCUUCAGCCACGCGUCGGUGGCGCGGUGGCAGCACCAGGUUUUCGUAGCUGGGCCAAAGCCGGCAGGCGCGAGCCACAGCGCCCCCUCGCCGCCUGCUGCGCCACUCUGGCCCGCAUCGCAUUCAGAAAGCCACAGGACAGGACAGUGUCAAGUGAGCGCCUGGGCCUUCGAAACCAAUUCUGUAGGUAUGGUAAAAACUUAACCAAGUUAACAGUGUUUGCUUUUAAUUCUGCUACACACACCGGGAGGGUCCACAGGAAGCACCCACAACCUAGGUAACUGUUACAGGCGGUCGCUUUCCAAGCAGUGAUCAGUCUGUCCUCAGUGUCGCACAUCGUUCACCCCAUUUAAGUAGCUGGGAAAAAACAGAUCCAAGCACCAGGUUUCCUAAGAAACCAGUACACCUGCACACCCCUCCUAUCCUGGACCACAUCAUCCAUGCCUUUUUUGGAAACGGAAGUCGCUGGAUCAGGGUCUUAGCAGUGUGUAUUUAGAGCGGUUUGAGCUAACCCCCAUGACCUUAGCAACAGUGAGGACUGUCUGCCCAAGCUCCA